UACGUAGGGUGCGAGCGUUGUCCGGAUUUAUUGGGCGUAAAGAGCUCGUAGGCGGUUCGGUAAGUCGGGUGUGAAAUCUCCAGGCUCAACCUGGAGUCGCCACUCGAUACUGCCGUGACUCGAGUCCGGUAGGGGAGCAUGGAAUUCCCGGUGUAGCGGUGAAAUGCGCAGAUAUCGGGAGGAACACCAGUAGCGAAGGCGGUGCUCUGGGCCGGAACUGACGCUGAGGAGCGAAAGCGUGGGGAGCGAACAGG
rnacentral:rRNA from 1 species